UCGCCGCCUCCCCUUCCUCUAUCGCCAGCUGCCAUGGCCGGCGAUUCCUUCAUUUCCUCCCUCUAAUCGGCGAACCGGCUGAACACUAGCUUCCCGCCACCGCCGGACACCUCCUCUCCCCGCCGCCGGAAGGCACAUUAUCGCAGUCGUGCCUCUCAAAACUGCAUCGCUUCUCCUGCAGUCUCUCUCGGUGAAACCCUCCAGUGACGCUCUCAGAAUCCGAACACAAGUAUCAGUUGUUGGUUAUGUGAACCCAGAUCGUGAUGAACUAUUUAUCUACUCCAAAAAGACCGGAGCUCUUGGGAAAAACGUGACAUGUUAUAGUUUUGAACAAUGUUCUUCUAAUAUUGGUGUUUUUACCCCAAGUUUGAUUUCACUCAAAACCAUGGGGUUCCAUAAUGUUCAGUCGGUAAGUUUUAAUUAGUCAAACAUAAGAAUUGGUUGUAGUACUUUUGUUGAUGUGUGCUGUAACAGGUUCAUAUGUAUUUUGUUUAUUUAUAUGAUUCUUAUUUACAGAAUA